rnacentral:rRNA from 1 species
UACGUAGGGGGCGAGCGUUUGUCCGGAUUUAUUGGGCGUAAAGGGCGCGUAGGCGGUUUCUUAAGUUUGAAGUGACAGUGGGUGGCUUAACUACCCAAGGCCUUUGAAAACUGGGGAACUUGAGGACCAGAGAGGGACAUAGAAUUCCGGGUGGAGUGGUGAAAUGCGUAGAUAUCCGGAGGAAUACCAAAGGCGAAGGCAGUGUCCUGGAGGGUGACUGACGCUGAGGCGCGAAAGCUAGGGGAGCGAACGAGG